AUAACCCACAAUUUCUUUUUUCUAGGCUUUUGGGACGAUUUGGUCUGUCAUUCUUAACAUGAAGUGGAGUUGCUCUUCUCCUUCUUCCUUGAAGCUUGUGGCAAUUUUGUUGUUAGUAUUCUUAUCAUUGGAUGCAGGUACAGAGGCAGCAGAGAAGGAGGCUUGCUCAGGUGGUAUGAUUCGUAUAGAUAAGGGAUGCUCAAGGGAAGCCUGCGAUGAGAUUUGCCGUAUGGUGAAUGGUCUAAAUUCGUUUCAUUUUAUUGGUGAAUGCCGCGAUAAAUACAUGUGCUGUUGCGUUCUGAAGGGCUGACUGACCAUACCUUUUUUUCUGAAACAUUAAUCUUUUUUUUAAAUGCAUGAAUAAAGCAACCACCCUUUUCUA